rnacentral:rRNA from 2 species
UGUCUUUUAAAUGAAGACCUGUAUGAAUGGCAUAACGAGGGCUUAACUGUCUCCUCCCCCAAAUCAAUGAAAUUGAUCUCCCCGUGCAGAAGCGGGGAUAAAAACAUAAGACGAGAAGACCCUGUGGAGCUUUAAAUCAAGAACAGACCAUGUCAAGAAUAACAAACAAGGACUUAAAACAAAUUGGCCACUGUUUAUGUAUUUUUGGUUGGGGCGACCGCGGGGUAAUAAUUAACCCCCAUGUGGACUAAGAAAAUAUUCUUAAAACUAAGAGUUCCCUCUCUAAGUAACAGAAUUUCUGACCUUAAUGAUCCGGCCUAGCCGAUCAACGAACCCAGUUACCCCAGGGAUAACAGCGCAAUCCUCUUCUAGAGCCCAUAUCGACAAGAGGGUUUACGACCUCGAUGUUGGAUCAGGACAUCCUAAUGGUGUAGCCGCUAUUAAGGGUUUGUUUGUUCAACAAUUAAAGU